rnacentral:rRNA from 1 species
UACCAGCACCCCGAGUGGUCGGGACGUUUAUUGGGCCUAAAGCAUCCGUAGCCGGUUCUACGAGUCUUCCGUUAAAUCCAACUGCUUAACAGGUGGGCUGCGGAAGAUACUAUAGAGCUAGGAGGCGGGAGAGGCAAGCGGUACUCGAUGGGUAGGGGUAAAAUCCGUUGAUCCAUUGAAGACCACCAGUGGCGAAGGCGGCUUGCCAGAACGCGCUC